rnacentral:lncRNA from 1 species
UAGACGUCACUUUUUUCUGAGAUAUGCUGCCCCAUCUUAUGCUAUCAGUUCUGAUGCUAAUGGUUUGCCAUUAGCCUGCUCUGGCUUGAAGAAAUUGAUUCCGAGAGCUUGUUUAAAAAGGCAGGUAUAAGUUUUAAGUGAGCUGGUAAGCCAACAGCAAUCUCCAUGAAUGUGCUUUUUCAGCAGAUCUACAUCAGAAUGGGUGAUCCCUCGUGUCAGACAAGAGGAAUGGGGUGUUGUAGUAAAAGCUAUAUUGUAGUUCUGGAGGGGUUAAUCGCGGAGAAUUGAACGAAAGUUUACCGAGGAAAAACGUCUAGUGAGUGAAGUUUCAUUCAGCAAUCAUGACUUUGCAAUUUAUCAUUUUAAGGGGUGCAUUGUUAUCAAUUAGAGGAUGUCAUAUUCUUUGUUAUAAUUGGCUUGAUUCGCACUUAAUGCUUAUCAUUAUAUCAUGUUCUGACAUCGAUCCACAAUCUGGUUGCAUUAUACUUAAAUAUAGCUUCUAUGUUGCAUUCAGGAGCUUCAGACUGCCUUUUAUUUUCGUAAUAUGACUUUAUCAUCCAGGGGUCUGUCAGAUGUCUGAUCUUAAUUUAUAUCCGUUUACAGAGGAAUAUCCUG